rnacentral:lncRNA from 1 species
CACACUCAUAGGAAACUUGCCCUCCAAGUAAACCCUUGAUUUGCACAAUUACACUUUAGUCCCUCUCAUAACAUAGGGAGACUUGCCCUCCAAGUAAUCUCUUAUACAUAGGAAACUUGCCCUCCAAGUAAACUCUUUUACUUGCACCAUUACACCUUAGCCCCUCUCAUUUGCACAAUUACACCUUAGCCCCUCUCAUUUGCACAAUUACACCUUAGCCCCUCUCAUUUGCACAAUUUUCAUUUACACUUAUUUCUAUAUUACAAAUUCGGUACACUACAUCUAUAUAUAUAUAUAUAUAGAAUUAUGCUCCUAUACUAUUAAUAGUACCAAGUCUUUGGUACUAUUGAGUUUUUGGCCGUUGGAUGAAAGGAUGUGCGGUUAGGAUGAUAGUGGUCCCCUAGGGUUGAGUGGGUGGUUGGUUUAAUAGUAUAAUCUAACGGGUGAAAAUGAUCACAGAGUAGAUCUGACGGUAGAAAACUUUAUAGUACCAAAGGCUUGGUACUAUCAAUAGUAUAGUAGCCGGACUCUAUACAUAUAUAUAUAUAU